UACAGAGGGUGCGAGCGUUGUCCGGAAUCACUGGGCGUAAAGGGCGCGUAGGCGGCUUGAUAAGGUUGCGGUGAAAGCCCGGGGCUCAACCCCGGGUCGGCCGUGGCAACUGUCGAGCUGGAGCACUGUAGAGGCAGGUGGAAUUCCGGGUGUAGCGGUGGAAUGCGUAGAGAUCCGGAAGAACACCGGUGGCGAAGGCGGCCUGCUUGGCAGUGGCUGACGCUGAGGCGCGACAGCGUGGGGAGCAAACAGG
rnacentral:rRNA from 1 species